rnacentral:rRNA from 1 species
UGGGGAAUAUUGCACAAUGGGCGCAAGCCUGAUGCAGCCAUGCCGCGUGUGUGAAGAAGGCCUUCGGGUUGUAAAGCACUUUCAGCGAGGAGGAAGGGUUCAGUGUUAAUAGCACUGUUCAUUGACGUUACUCGCAGAAGAAGCACCGGCUAACUCCGUGCCAGCAGCCGCGGUAAUACUGAGGGUGCAAGCGUUAAUCGGAAUUACUGGGCGUAAAGCGCACGCAGGCGGUUUGUUAAGUCAGAUGUGAAAUCCCCGCGCUUAACGUGGAAC